rnacentral:rRNA from 1 species
AACGAACGCUGGCGGCAUGCCUAACACAUGCAAGUCGAACGAGACCUUCGGGUCUAGUGGCGCACGGGUGCGUAACGCGUGGGAACCUGCCCUUAGGUUCGGAAUAACUCCCCGAAAGGGGUGCUAAUACCGGAUAAUGUCUUCGGACCAAAGAUUUAUCGCCUUUGGAUGGGCCCGCGUUGGAUUAGCUAGUUGGUAGGGUAAAAGCCUACCAAGGCGACGAUCCAUAGCUGGUCUGAGAGGAUGAUCAGCCACACUGGGACUGAGACACGGCCCAGAAUCCUACGGGAGGCAGCAGUGGGGAAUAUUGGACAAUGGGCGAAAGCCUGAUCCAGCAAUGCCGCGUGAGUGAUGAAGGCCUUAGGGUUGUAAAGCUCUUUUACCCGGGAUGAUAAUGACAGUACCGGGAGAAUAAGCUCCGGCUAACUCUGUG